rnacentral:snRNA from 1 species
AUACUUACUCAGGCAGCACAUACAAUAAAUUGGAAAUGAUACAGAGAUUAGCAUGGCCCCUGUGAAAGGAUGACAUGCAAACUCGUGAAGUGUUUUUACAUUUU